rnacentral:lncRNA from 1 species
CUUUAUUCCAGACCCCUUGUGUAUAUGUAUGUGUAAACUAGCAAGCUAUAAGCUCUAGAGAGCUUAGAAAAGGCAUCCUAGCCUCUAUCUAACCAGAACAUCAAUGUUUAUCUACCUAUCCCAUAAUUAAAAUCACAUGUCUGACCAUAAGCUCUGAGUGAGGGUUUGCUUACCUUAAUGCUUGUAAACUACUUGGCCACUUAAGUGUCAUUGGCUCUGUGAAUUGAAUCAGAAGGGAGAAAAGUGUCAAUGUCAGAAUCUACUUUAGGCCUUUAAGCUGAUUCUACAACUUAUAAAGCCAUUCAUAUAAACAAAUUCCAACCUCAAAUAUUUUUUUCCUCACCUCAGUCCAUCAAAUUGCAAGUUAAGUACUAAUUCUGGUUGGUUGA